GUCUACAGCCAUGCCACCCUGAAAGUGCCCGAUCUCGUCUGAUCUCAGAAGCUAAGCAGGGUCGGGCCUGGUUAGAAUUUGGAUGGGAGACCACCUAGAAAUCCUAGGUGCUGUAAGCG
rnacentral:rRNA from 1 species